rnacentral:rRNA from 1 species
ACUUAGUGGCGGAUGGGUGAGUAACGCGUGGAUAACCUGCCUUACACUGGGGGAUAACACUUAGAAAUAGGUGCUAAUACCGCAUAAGCGCACAGAGCCGCAUGGCUCAGUGUGAAAAACUCCGGUGGUGUAAGAUGGAUCCGCGUCUGAUUAGCUAGUUGGCGGGGUAGAAGCCCACCAAGGCGACGAUCAGUAGCCGGCCUGAGAGGGUGAACGGCCACAUUGGGACUGAGACACGGCCCAAACUCCUACGGGAGGCAGCAGUGGGGAAUAUUGCACAAUGGGGGAAACCCUGAUGCAGCAACGCCGCGUGAGUGAAGAAGUCAUUCGUGAUGUAAAGCUCUAUCAGCAGGGAAGAAAAUGACGGUACCUGAGUAAGAAGCCCCGGCUAACUACGUGCCAGCAGCCGCGGUAAUACGUAGGGGGCAAGCGUUAUCCGGAUUUACUGGGUGUAAAGGGAGCGUAGACGGCCAGACAAGUCUGAAGUGAAAAUCCAGCGCUUAACGUUGGAAGUGCUUUGGAAACUGCCGGGCUAGAGUGCAGGAGGGGCAGGCGGAAUUCCUAGUGUAGCGGUGAAAUGCGUAGAUAUUAGGAGGAACACCAGUGGCGAAGGCGGCCUGCUGGACUGCAACUGACGUUGAGGCUCGAAGGCGUGGGGAGCAAACAGGAUUAGAUACCCUGGUAGUCCACGCGGUAAACGAUGAUUACUAGGUGUCGGGGGGCUAGAGCCCUUCGGUGCCGUCGCAAACGCAAUAAGUAAU